GAGGGUAUAGCUCAGUGGUAGAGCGCAUGCUUAGCAUGCACAAGGUCCUGGGUUCAAUCCCCAGUACCUCCU
rnacentral:tRNA from 1 species